GAUGAACGCUGGCGGCGUGCCUAAUACAUGCAAGUCGAGCGAACGGACGAGAAGCUUGCUUCUCUGAUGUUAGCGGCGGACGGGUGAGUAACACGUGGAUAACCUACCUAUAAGACUGGGAUAACUUCGGGAAACCGGAGCUAAUACCGGAUAAUAUUUUGAACCGCAUUGUUCAAAAGUGAAAGACGGUCUUGCUGUCACUUAUAGAUGGAUCCGCGCUGCAUUAGCUAGUUGGUAAGGUAACGGCUUACCAAGGCAACGAUGCAUAGCCGACCUGAGAGGGUGAUCGGCCACACUGGAACUGAGACACGGUCCAGACUCCUACGGGAGGCAGCAGUAGGGAAUCUUCCGCAAUGGGCGAAAGCCUGACGGAGCAACGCCGCGUGAGUGAUGAAGGUCUUCGGAUCGGAAAACUCUGUUAUUAGGGAAGAACAUAUGUGUAAGUAACUGUGCACAUCUUGACGGUACCUAAUCAGAAAGCCACGGCUAACUACGUG
rnacentral:rRNA from 1 species